UUUUGGCCAAUGGGGGCAACCCUGAUCCAACCAUGCCGGGUGGGUGAAGAAGGCCUUCGGGUUGUAAAGCCCCUUCCGCGGGGAAGAAAUCCCCCGGGUGAGAAGCCUUCGUGGAUGACGGUACUUGCAGAAGAAGCCCCGGCUAACUACGUGCCAGCAGCCGCGGUAAUACGUAGGGGGCGAGCGUUAUUCGGAAUUAUUGGGCGUAAAGCGUGCGCAGGCGGCCCUUUAAGUCAGGUGUGAAAGCCCUGGGCUUAACCUCGGACUGGCGCUUGAAACUGGGGGGCUAGAGUGCGGCAGAGGGGGGUGGAAUUCCGGGGGAGCGGUUAAAAGGGUAGAGAUCAGGAGGAACCCCGAGGGGAAGGCAGCCCCCUGGAUCGACACUGACGUCAGGCACGAAA
rnacentral:rRNA from 1 species